CUAUUAACCGUUAAUAGUUAAAG
rnacentral:tRNA from 1 species